rnacentral:rRNA from 1 species
GGAGAAAAGCAGGGGAUCGCAAGACCUUGCGCUCAUUGAGCGGCCGAUGCCUGAUUAGCUAGUUGGUGAGGUAAAGGCUUACCAAGGCGACGAUCAGUAGCUGGUCUGAGAGGACGACCAGCCACACUGGGACUGAGACACGGCCCAGACUCCUACGGGAGGCAGCAGUGGGGAAUUUUGGACAAUGGGGGAAACCCUGAUCCAGCCAUGCCGCGUGAGUGAAGAAGGCCUUCGGGUUGUAAAGCUCUUUCAGCCGGAACGAAACGGUCACGGCUAAUACCUGUGACUACUGACGGUACCGGAAGAAGAAGCACCGGCUAACUACGUGCCAGCAGCCGCGGUAAUACGUAGGGCGCGAGCGUUAAUCGGAAUUACUGGGCGUAAAGCGUGCGCAGGCGGUUUUGUAAGUCAGAAGGGAAAUCCCCGGGCUUAACCUGGGAACUGCGUUCUUAAAAGGAAGCUAGAAGGGC